rnacentral:lncRNA from 10 species
UCCAUGCCGUGACCUGACUGCUCUGCCUACAGCAAGUACUUAACGGAGACACAUGGCAGCAUGGAGACUGGGGUCACCCCACAACCGUCGGAGCAGCUGUGGUCUUUCCAUUAAGAGAGUCUACCUGAAAGUCCCUUUGUCCUGAAUGAAGAUACCUCGCUCGGCCCAGGUGCGCGGAGUCACAACCGCCUGCAGGAUGCCUCUGAGGGGCUGAGGCUUUUCAUCAGUAUCCACAUGGGCCACAUACAGACCAGGAGUUAAGGGCCACCUAUCUAAGGAUUCAGAGAAACAGGAAAAAUACCAGUGAAAAGAUACUUUUUUUUUCUUUUUUUCCAGUUUUAUGGAAGUGUAAUUGACAAGUAGAAAUUAUAUAUAUUUAAGGCAUAC